CGGUUGAUCCUGCCGGAGGUCACUGCUAUUGGGAUCCGACUAAGCCAUGCGAGUCGAGAGGGUUCGGCCCUCGGCGAACUGCUCAGUAACACGUGGAUAAUCUAACCUUAGGUGGAGCAUAACCUCGGGAAACUGAGAAUAAUACUCCAUAGAUCUUUGAGGCUGGAAUGCACUUAGAUUGAAAGCUCCGGCGCCUAAGGAUGAGUCUGCGGACUAUCAGGUAGUAGUCAGGGUAAUGACCUGACUAGCCUACGACGGAUACGGGUUGUGAGAGCAAUAACCCGGAGAUGAUAUCUGAGACACGAUAUCAGGCCCUACGGGGCGCAGCAGGCGCGAAACCUUCACAAUGCGCGAAAGCGCGAUGAGGGGAUCCCAAGUGCUUGCACGUAAGUGUAAGCUGUUUCUUUGUUUAAAAAGCAGAGAGAGUAAGGGCUGGGUAAGACGGGUGCCUGCCGCCGCGGUAAUACCUGCAGCUCAAGUGGUGGCCGCUAUUAUUGGGCCUAAAACGUCCGUAGCCGGCUGAGUAAAUGCCUGGGUAAAUCGUGUGGCUUAACCAUACGAAUUCCGGGUAGACUGCUCAGCUUGAGACCGGAAGAAGUUAGAGGUACUCCUGGGGUAGGGGUGAAAU
rnacentral:rRNA from 1 species